ACGGUGUUAUUUUGGAUGCAGUAUUUGCAGCAUACUGCACUCUGACUGCAAUUUAUUUUCUUAAUGGGAAUGAUGGCUGCGGAGACCAAAGAUUACCAGAGGGAUUUUCAGGCUGAACUGAUGGGAAAUCCAUUUCGAUGACAGCUGAGAAGUGAUGGAAUACCAGUGAUUUUUUUCCUUCACAACAACACGGAAGAUCCUCAAUUAGAGGUGGUACAGAAUCUAUUUCCACCAACAUGCGCUUCCUAGCCCUAGCUCUGCACAAGGUGAAGGUUAUCUGGAGUCAUUCCACAGUGCCCUGUUGAAAAAUACCCCAAAGCUGGGACAUUUUGGGUACACAAGCACGAGGGAGCGGACACACCUUGUUAUGGUUAUGGAGAACAACACGAUUGUGGGACAGAAACCAGCAAGGGACACUGAAAGGAGAUGUGCAGAACCAUCAAAUCUACCAGACGAGCUAAAU